rnacentral:misc_RNA from 1 species
GAUGAAGAACGCAGCGAAAUGCGAUAAGUAAUGUGAAUUGCAGAAUUCAGUGAAUCAUCGAAUCUUUGAACGCACAUUGCGCCCGCCAGUAUUCUGGCGGGCAUGCCUGUCCGAGCGUCAUUUCAACCCUCGCGCCCAUCUGGGCUGCGGUGUUGGGGACCGGCCUGCCCCCCCGGGGCGCGCCGCCCCCCAAAUUCAGUGGCGGUCUCGCUGCAGCCUCCCUUGCGUAGUAGCACACCGCGCACCGGAGCGCAGCGCGGCCACGCCGUAAAACCCCCGACCCCCAUGAGUUUGACCUCGGAUCAGGUAGGAAUACCCGCUGAACUUAAGCAUAUCAAUAAGCGGAGGA